GGGGCAGACCCAUGGAGCGGCAUUGCAAGGAGGGACUUGUUCAUCGUGCAGUCCUAUAUACAAAAACAAUCAGUGCCUGAGAAGCAGAACAGUGGGGUUAAUGUGAAGCCUUGCAAAGCUUCCCUAGUCUCUGGCACUAUCCUGCAGAAGAGCUGGGACCAGAAAAUCUGUUUCCUUCCCAGGCAACACACUUGGGGUACCUUCAUCAUGAUCCCUUCUUGGGAUGGCUGAAGCAGGAGGCAUGGAAACAAAACCAGCAGCAGACAGGGGCUUAAUUGUUGCCUUUAAUAAUGACUCUUAUACCAGGUACUGCUGAUAAUCUGCAAAGAAGGAGGGCACCGGGCUCUGAUAGCAAGUAUCUGCACCAGGAUGCCACCAGCCUUACCAUGUCCAGCUCAGCUCUAGUGUGUGAAGGAAGGGAGCCUUCAGAGAAGGGCAAAUAGACCACCCUGAAUCUAGAUGAAGGAUGUCAAAGACCAGCAAGUGAAUGAGAUCAGUUCUUGUCAGGCAAGAGUUUUUGUUAAGGCUGAGUUGAGAAAACGUGCUUUAAGUUGCAGGAGGGGAGCUACAAAUGUCCACCA